rnacentral:rRNA from 1 species
AUUGAGCGCUGGCGGCAUGCCUUACACAUGCAAGUCGAACGGUAACGCGGGGCAACCUGGCGACGAGUGGCGAACGGGUGAGUAAUGCAUCGGAACGUGCCUGGUAGUGGGGGAUAACUGCUCGAAAGAGCAGCUAAUACCGCAUACGACCUGAGGGUGAAAGGGGGGGAUCGCAAGACCUCUCGCUAUCAGAGCGGCCGAUGUCGGAUUAGCUAGUUGGUGGGGUAAAGGCCCACAAAGGCAACGAUCCGUAGCUGGUCUGAGAGGACGACCAGCCACACUGGGACUGAGACACGGCCCAGACUCCUACGGGAGGCAGCAGUGGGGAAUUUUGGACAAUGGACGCAAGUCUGAUCCAGCCAUGCCGCGUGCGGGAAGAAGGCCUUCGGGUUGUAAACCGCUUUUGUCAGGGAAGAAAUCUUCUGGGCUAAUACCCUGGGAGGAUGACGGUACCUGAAGAAUAAGCACCGGCUAACUACGUGCCAGCCGCCGCCGUAAAAC